GGAGAUCCAGCAAAGGGCGCACCGAAUUAAACGCGUCGCUGAGAAGUAUGCCCAGGCACACCCAGCCAGCCCUGGACUCCAUCCUUCUCCUCCAGAUGCCCAAAUUAGGAGAUGGAACCUUGUCACUCUGGAGAUGAAGAAAGAGAGUACAGAGAGGGCAAAGAACUAGCCUAGGGGUGCACAGCUCCCAACAGUAGCAGUGCAGGAACCUGGGCGCGGACACCAGGGUGAGGGUGGCUCGCCCUGCCUCUAGAAAGCUCACAGCAUCCAGCCUGAUUGACUGCAGAUGGCAGAGGUGACGGGCGGCGGCGGCGGCGAGCUGGUCCACCUACUGUGCCCUGACACAUAGCCCAACCCCACAAGCUCGUAGUUCUCUGCAGAUGGACGCUGACCUCACUUGAAGAGACUCCCCGUGGAGACAGGAAUCCUGGCAGGUUAGAGACCAGAGUGGACUUGAGAUGAAGGUGGCUGCUCUUCCCACUAUAGCUGUGCCAGGGACUGGCAGCCUCUCAUUCCCUCACUUCUGCCCUUUCCCCCAGAAAAGUCCUGUUUCUUCUCUUCUCCCUGUGGAUGGGUAACUGGCCCACUGGUGAACGAGGGACAGUGGGGGAUGGUAGUGGUAAAGACGAUGAUGGUGGUGGUGAUGAUGAUGAAGAUGAUGAAGGUGAUAAUGAAGAAGAUGAUAAUGACGACGGCACAAUACUUGAGGGAGUGAGCCAGAAUCUGUAAUUCACCAGGCAUCCACUGCUAGAAGAUACUUAAGGAAACGAUCUCGGGAACGCUGGAGAGGCAAUGGCCACAAGGUGGCAGCAGGUCCCCAUUCUAGAGGCACAGAAGACCGUGUUCUUGAUGACUAAGCCUCCUGCAGCUGUCCGACUUCUUGCUCCUUAGGCCUCCGGUUGGGAUUUAGGGAUUCCAUUUGUGUCAGAUCAGGUCACGCCGGGCCCCGGGGUGAGCCCUGCUCUCUGGUCACAGGAACGACGGAGAACCCAAGUGAGGGACCCAGUAACCUGCCUGCGGUCACAGGGCACCUUGGGCUGUAGAGGCAGGUCCUCUAGGCCCUUCCUGUCACUUUGGCUUCCUUGAGGCUUUUGUUAUGAGAGUAGAUGGUCUGUUUCCUUUGGCUUUAAAAAUAAAUAGUUUACCAAA